UGAAUACGAGACGCUACGGCGUCGAAGCAGUCUAUGUCAUACUUCCAAGAAAAGCUUGCACUGUCAUAAACAAAUAAUGCCUGUACCAUAACCGACACAGGUGGGUAGGUAGAGUAUACUAAGGGGCGCGAGAUAACUCUCUCUAAGGAACUCGGCAAAAUGACUCCGUAACUUCGGGAGAAGGAGUGCCUUAUUUAUAAGGUUGCAAUAACAAGAUCCAAGCAACUGUUUAUCAAAAACACAGGUCUCCGCUAAGUCGUAAGACGAUGUAUGGGGGCUGACGCCUGCCCAGUGCCAGAAGGUUAAAGAAGUUGGUUAGCAUUAGCGAAGCUGAUAACUGAAGCCCUGGUGAACGGCGGCCGUAACGAUAACGGUCCUAAGGUAGCGAAAUUCCUUGUCGGGUAAGUUCCGACCCGCACGAAAGGCGUAAUGAUUUGGAUACUGUCUCAGAGAGGGGCUCGGUGAAAUAGACUUGUCUGUGAAGAUGCGGACUACCUGCACCAGGACAGAAAGACCCUAUGAAGCUUUACUGUAACUUGAAAUUGAAAUUGGACUUUAUUUGCGCAGUAUAGGUGGGAGGCAUUGAUAAUAUUCUUGCGGGAAUGUUGGAGCCAUCAGUGAGAUACCACUCUUGUAAUGUUAGAUUUCUAACUUUGGAUCAUUAUCUGGUCAAAGGACAGUUUCAGGCGGGCAGUUUGACUGGGGCGGUCGCCUCCUAAAUGGUAACGGAGGCGCACAAAGGUUUCCUCUGAACGGGUAGAAAUCGUAUCUAGAGUGUAAAGGCAUAAGGAAGCUUGACUGUGAGACCUACAAGUCGAGCAGGGACGAAAGUCGGUCUUAGUGAUCUGACGGUGCUGAGUGGAAAGGCCGUCACUCAACGGAUAAAAGUUACUCUAGGAUAACAGGCUGAUCUCCCCCAAGAGUUCACAUCGACGGGGAGGUUUGGCACCUCGACGUCGGCUCAUCGCAUCCUGGGGCGGUAGUACGUCCCAAGGGUUGGGCUGUUCGCCCAUGAAAGCGGUACGCGAGCUGGGUUCAGAACGUCGUGAGACAGUUCGGUCCAUAUCCGGUGUAGGCGUUAGAAUAUUGAGAGGAGCCUUCUUUAGUACGAGAGGACCGAGAAGGACAUACCUCUGGUGUACCAGUUAUCGUGCCAACGGUAAACGCUGGGUAGCUAUGUAUGGAGAGGAUAACCGCUGAAAGCAUCUAAGUGGGAAGCCCACCUCAAGAUAAGUAUUCUCAUC
rnacentral:rRNA from 1 species